rnacentral:rRNA from 1 species
CGUGGGUAACCUGCCCAAGAGAUCGGGAUAACACCUGGAAACAGAUGCUAAUACCGGAUAACAACAGAUGAUGCCUAUCAACUGUUUAAAAGAUGGUUCUGCUAUCACUCUUGGAUGGACCUGCGGUGUAUUAGCUAGUUGGUAGGGUAACGGCCUACCAAGGCGAUGAUGCAUAGCCGAGUUGAGAGACUGAUCGGCCACAUUGGGACUGAGACACGGCCCAAACUCCUACGGGAGGCAGCAGGU